UUCCUUUUUUGGUUACUAAUCCUGGGAUAUGUUAUCCCAAGAGUAAAAAUGUCAGGAUAACUUAUACAUGCCAGAGGGUAGAAUUGUAAUCCCAGGAUAAGUUAUCCCAUGAUAAAGCAGUAAAAUUGACAAUCCCAGGAUUAAUACGAUAUACCAAACAAUCAACAAGAAAUAAUACUAGGACAAUUAAUCCUCGCAUAAUUGAUCUCAUCAUAACUUGUCUUCAAACCAAACGAUCCCUUAUAGAUGUAUAAGUAUUGCAACUAAUUCUAAAAAAUAUUCUAUUUAUACUUUAAAUGAAUUUUUUAUUACAAUUUAAUUUUUUCUACAAUCUAAACUCAAAACAUUAUAUACACAAUAGCUUAGUUCCCAUUUUGUUUAUUUGUUGUUUUGCUAGCAAAAUUUUAUUAUUACUACAUUAGUUUUGUUUUUAGUUUUUUACAUAAUAUCGUGUAGGUAUUCAUUUGUGUGCAAAAAUAUAUGAAAAGUUAAAGGCAAAGUUACAAAUAAAAAAUAUAAACGAAAAAAAAGAAGAAAAAGAUUAAAGCCCAAAUCUCUCCAUUCCCUUAAGACCUAAAAUAUUUAGACUCCCAAACCCAUUCCCCAAAAAAAUAUCCGCACAUCUCCCACUCUAACCCUUCCCCACUCUAAGCAACUAUCCCUAAAACCCUCGUUCCUCUUGUUUUGGAAAACAGAAAUUGUCAAGGUAUGGCCACCCUAGUUUUUUUUUCCUCUUCUUAAUUAUUUCAAUUUUUGCCAUGCUUUCUUAGGAUUCUUGAUCGAGAAUAGUUCCUUUCAGUUUCAUCAUUACAUUGUGACAGUGAAAUGGCAAUCCCGACUUUAGCUAUAUUGAUAAGUGUCAAGAAUACUCCAACAGCUUAUAAGGAUGAAAUUAUGGGAUGCAUUAGCACAACCAUUUGUAGGCAUAUGCUCCAAAUUUAUGUUGCAGUAUGGUGAUUAGGUUUAUUCUUUUUAAGUAAACCCGAAUUUGUCUUUUCAGGCACUUGUGUUAUGGGCAUCAACGUACAAACAGACAAGUGUAAUAAUCAUGAGGUAUGUAUGAUACUUUACUCUUUCUGAAAACAAAAUCAAUUGGAUAUACUACCUAGUGAAGGAUGGAGUAUUUACAAAAUUCUUGUUAAAAGUUUUAGGACUUCUGAAAUUUUAUUUAGAAUAAUAAUAUUUUACUCUAGUAAUGUUUGUUUUUAUGAAACAAGUGUGAUGUUAAACUGGUUUAGCUUAUGCUCCUUUCUUGAGCAGAGAAAUAUGAGAAUAUAAUUUUUUUGGCAGUUACAAACUUAAGAAUUUACAAGACUUCAGACUUGGAAACACCUAGUUAUCAGAUACUAAGAAGAAAUGCAGCUUAUGGGAUUGGUAGUAUUUUCUUAUAGUGUUGUGCUUCAAACUAAGAACUGCUAAAUAAGACUUAUGUCUUGAACGGUUUGUAGUUUUUUGAUAUAUACAUUGCACAAAUAAUCUUAAGGUUUUAAAGAAGCAGGUUGUUGUUUCUGGCAGAAUCUUACCCUACAAAAGGAAAUGUUAUUUAGUUCAAAUGUGAUUGACAAGUCCCAACUAACUAAUGUACUAAACUUAUGGUGUGGAUGUCAUUUUUUUUAUAUACAGGUUAGAAUUUAUGACUCCUUCAUAGUUGUAGAAACAGAAGGUGGCAGUCCUGCAAGAUCAAGAGGGUAACAUGGCAAUCUUGCUGGAUCAGGAGGUGGUGUCACCAGGUGAAGUAAUCGAUGGAGUGCUAUAAGAUCUUAUUUUGUUGCGUCCUUGUUCUUGAUAUCCGCAAAAACAACAAUUUCUUUCACGCACAGGGUACAAAUACAAUCGGCUAAUGUCUUUCAAUUCGCCAUCGGAACCUGGUAUUAGAAAAGCAUUGGAGCAGUUAUGAGUUUUGAUUUCUCUUCACUGUCCGCUGAUGGUUACCAUCCCUAUCCAGACUCACAUUAGCUAGUUUUUUUAGAACUUUAUUAUUCUGUGUUGUAAAAGAGUUAUGUACUGUGGAUCUGUAUGAAAUUAUUCUUUUUCUUGUAAAAAAUAUCGUACUUUUGAGUAUAACAACAUUUUAGUAUUCUA
rnacentral:lncRNA from 1 species